rnacentral:misc_RNA from 1 species
GAUGAAGAACGCAGUGAAAUGCGAUACGUAAUGUGAAUUGCAGAAUUCAGUGAAUCAUCGAAUCUUUGAACGCACAUUGCGCCCGCCAGUAUUCUGGCGGGCAUGCCUGUUCGAGCGUCAUUUCAACCAUCAAGCCCCAGGCUUGUGUUGGGGACCUGCGGCUGCCGCAGGCCCUGAAAAUCAGUGGCGGGCUCGCUGUCAUACCGAGCGCAGUAGUUACAUCUCGCUCUGGGCAUGGCGGCGGGCACCUGCCGUAAAACACUCUUUCUAAGGUUGACCUCGGAUCAGGUAGGAAUACCCGCUGAACUUAAGCAUAUCAAUAAGCGGAGGA